rnacentral:lncRNA from 1 species
GACUAUAUGGACUUCAGCAACACUAAUACAGCAACAGAGAAGAAAAUCCCUUCAACAACAGUAAGAUGCACAAAGGAACAGCAACUCUGCUACAGCAGACUGUUUCAUUCUUACAGGACAUAGUUUAAUUGAUCAGAAAUGGCCACGAUCAUGAGAAAGCUGUUUACCUUCUGAAUCUGUGCCAAUAAUGUUGCAAGAUGGUACUCAGCACCUUUAAUAAUCUCUCUGAACUGCUCUGAAAAGACUUUGUAAGUACCUGUCAGUCUUUAUUGAUUCUAGACACAAAAUUAGCUGAAAUUCCACUUUAUCUGAAUGUGGCCCUUCAGGCAGUAUCCUGUCUGCCUCUUAGAGAGUUUCACAAAGCUUAGC